rnacentral:rRNA from 1 species
CCCGCACAAGCAGCGGAGCGUGUGGUUUAAUUCGAUGCAACACGAAGAACCUUACCAGGGUUUGACAUACUAGAAGUAGGGACCCGAAAGGGCGACUAAACUGUUAAGUCAGUAGCUAGAACAGGUGCUGCAUGGCUGUCGUCAGCUCGUGCCGUGAGGUGUUCGGUUAAGUCCUGCAACGAGCGCAACCCUCGUGGCUAGUUGAAUUUCUCUAGCCAGACCGCCCGCAAACGGGGAGGAAGGUGGGGAUGACGUCAAGUCAGCAUGGCCCUUAUACCCUGGGCUACACACACGCUACAAUGGGUGGUACAAUUGGUUGCGACAGAGCGAUCUGGAGCUAAUCUAUAAAGCCAUCCUCAGUUCGGAUUGCAGGCUGCAACUCGCCUGCAUGAAGUCGGAAUCGCUAGUAAUCGCAGGUCAGCAUACUGCGGUGAAUACGUUCCCGGGCCUU